rnacentral:rRNA from 1 species
AACCCCUGUGAACAUACCACUUGUUGCCUCGGCGGAUCAGCCCGCUCCCGGUAAAACGGGACGGCCCGCCAGAGGACCCCUAAACUCUGUUUCUAUAUGUAACUUCUGAGUAAAACCAUAAAUAAAUCAAAACUUUCAACAACGGAUCUCUUGGUUCUGGCAUCGAUGAAGAACGCAGCAAAAUGCGAUAAGUAAUGUGAAUUGCAGAAUUCAGUGAAUCAUCGAAUCUUUGAACGCACAUUGCGCCCGCCAGUAUUCUGGCGGGCAUGCCUGUUCGAGCGUCAUUUCAACCCUCAAGCACAGCUUGGUGUUGGGACUCGCGUUAAUUCGCGUUCCCCAAAUUGAUUGGCGGUCACGUCGAGCUUCCAUAGCGUAGUAGUAAAACCCUCGUUACUGGUAAUCGUCGCGGCCACGCCGUUAAACCCCAACUUCUGAAUGUUGACCUCGGAUCAGGUAGGAAUACCCGC